AUGAUUAACAUAUGUUUGGACGGGACCUUAGAGUCUGAUCAUUCUACGUCGGCGACGACUCCCGAUACUUUACCAGUGACUAUUUUAGUAUAGAAGUUUGUUUAUUUUAAUCAUCGUUUUCGAUAAUAAUUUGUUUUUUUUUUUUGACGGGUCAAACUUUAUGCGGCUAAAGUGAUAGUUUUAAAAUCAUCACGCAUUUCCAAUGUCUCCGUCGGCAACAUUAACUCGGAAAUAUUCAACUAUUAUACGCAGACACGUAGAAGUAUUGAACAACAAAAUUAAAUUAACAUACUGAGAACACAUUUUAAGCUUGCCGUCCGUGACCACCCAGCUCUUCGUUGUGAACGCCAACAGGACCAAAAACGCUCCCAACACCGACAGGCCGACGGCCGUCAG